CACGCCACGAAUAUGCAAAGCGUAAAGAGAAUCAAAUCAUCUACCUUUUGGAAACCGCGAUUGAGAAUCGCACCAAAUGUGGGAUUGACAUGGAAAUAAUAGAUGGCACUGUCGUCGUCAAAUCUACGAACGAAAGAAUUCGCUCGGUGAACCUCUCUAAUCGAAUAAAAAGUAAUCUAAAUAAACAACUUUCUCAAAGAUUUCCUCUCCGCAAUAUCUUCUCGUUUAUUACCGAAAGAACAAAAUCGUUAACGAAAAAUUCCAAAUUAUUAAUUCCUAUGCAAUAUUAUAUAUUAUAUACAAUAAUAUUAUUAUACAAUGGUGAUUCGAGUUCAAAACCGUUUUCUAAUAUUUUUUUAUUCGAACAAUAAUUCGUAACAAUGAAUUAAACAACAGUGGUCGAAGCAGUUUAUUAUUGAUUAUCCGCAGGAAAUUAAAUAAAUACAAGCUGGAAUUAUUGGAGAAUUCAGAAGCGAAGUGAAGAAAUGUAUUAUCUCGCGCCAUUUAUCGAUCACGUCGUUUGUCCCGGAACGGACUUCUUUUCGAAUGUUCCAGAAAUGUUUUCCAUCUCUCCGUACACGUUAUUUCACAGCAAUGGAAUUUUCCUUUGGAAUAAUCUACAUACGAAGCUUUUGUUUGAACAAACUGAAUGGAUUAACGAGAGCAACAGCUGUAUAAAUGAUGGUGAAUCGAUGCAAUCCUCCUCGGGUUUUACCUCGAGGAAACUCGACGAAGAAGAAAUAAACAUUUUAUCUUAAAUGAGAAAUAUCUUAUCGCCGAUGGAACAUUUCUUCGUGUUUUAAUUUAAACAUUUCUCGAUUGGAGGUUUCAGGUCGAAUUAUGUGGGUUAAGAUUGUAUCCCAUUGACGAGGAAGAGGAUUUUCAGGAAUUUCACUUACGUUCUUCCCGUUUUCGAAAUCCGAACGACGAGUCUGAAUAACCGUCGCACCUCGACUUUCACCUCGGCGAGAUUUUUACCGCCUCUCGAGUGGAAAAUUAAGUUAUCGAGAGGCGAAUGACAGAUUACGAUUACAAAAUUUUUGCCAAAAACUUGCCAAUGCUGAAACUUUAUCUACAACAGACGCUUUUAAAUUAAUCUCUGCUUUUGGCACGAAAUGAACUUUAAAGGAAAUUUUACGAUUGAAAGUUAAAAAUUAAUCAAUAUGCAUUUCGUCCGAGAAAUUCAUAAUUGUGUAAUAUAUAGAUAAAAUGAAGUUGUGCUAUAUCAUGCUACAAUAAGAACGAUUUGCUUGCAUAUCGUUUUGAAGGAAAGUCGAAUGAAUCGGUUUAAGGAUGAUGGAAAAAUCAUAAACAUGAAAGUAGAACGAAGAAUGUAUGUAAAAUUUUUAAUAAUGGUUAAACUCGAUUCAUCGCAAGGCAUUCGUCGUUGCAGACUGUUGAAUGAUUCAUUUAAAUCCUUUCGUUCGAUCCUAGACCUUGAAUAAACGGAAGAAAAAUGCACAACCGAGAUAUUGAAUCUAAAGAUUACAAGAAAUUCUGUGUAAAGUACCGUUUCUUGUUCCUUGUAUAUAUAUAUAUUGUAUUAUCUUUAAUUAUCUUUUUCUGAAAUUGAUAUGGGCAAAAAAAGAUGGUGAUUACUUGCACAACGCAAUAAGUGCCGUUAUCUCUUGAUUUAUUUACAACCUUGUCACUGUAAAUGGCACCAUUGAACUUUUAUAAAUAAUACGAAGUUUAAACUUCACUUGUUAUCUAACUUCUUAUCUAAAAAAGAAAUUUUUAUUUUAUUUUAAAAUGAAUUAUUCGAAAUUCGUAGAUAUAAAUCAUUACUUAUA
rnacentral:lncRNA from 1 species